rnacentral:misc_RNA from 1 species
CCUUGUGUAUCCUUGGAGAGAAGGACUACGCCGAAGUAGGCCACAUAAAUCCCCAAAACUUCAAUUCUCGGUGUUCCACUUUGUCAUGCCUGUCUGAGUUCUUAGUUUCAUCUUCCGGUAUUUCGAAGUUCUGGAUCGAGUAUUCUCUUUAUUGUCAAAGUACUCUGACCAUAUCCCCGAUUUUUCUUCCUACCUCAUCACUCGUGUAUCGACGUUUCAAGAUCCCUUCUAGCAGUAAAAUAGCAUUACCGGAAACUCAGAUCGUACGGAUUGAUAAAAUACAUACAUCGUUCUUGGAGACUCUGUACAACAUAUUCUUCUAAGGCUUUUACUAAUUACGGACGAUUUCCACUGUCUUUUCUCGUCACCCGCGCACCACAUAACUCGACCAAAUGUAUCGAAGCUAUUAAAGCUCGAUUAUAGAAAUAACUAAUUAACCUCGUGAAGCUCGAUGACAGAGAAGAACGACGGAAUCGAGUAUAACGAUCUGAAGGGAUAUAUCUCUGUUAUCUAAAAAGACAUGUCGAUCUCGUACGACGGAAGGAUUGGUGGCGGAAGCGCGCUACUUCCGGCUCCGUCGCGUUUCAAACUCUGCUCCGAAUGGGACUUGACGGCGAGUCGGCCAACGGACACGCG